AUGCGAGCAGUCGGUGAGAGAUGGAUUUUCCGUGCUUGGUCGAUCGUCGACCGAUCGCGGAUCAGUACACUGGGAAACGCCGUGGAAAAUAGUUCGCGCUGUGCGCUCUGAUUUUCUCCUGAGUUCUGGUGUGGGGAGGCCCGCCCCUUCCCGAGUUUGCCGACGCGGUUUCGUGUGGAUUUUUUUGUUGGAGGGAUUCCUCCGUGCCUUCGAUCUGAUACGCAGUUUUUGAUAAUUUACAUGCCAAAUCGGAUAAAAAAGACAGCUUUGCUAAAAACGAUGUACUCAUAUAAAACAAAGUCGAUAAUUCUAGAGCGCCAAGAACAAUAUCUCACUAAAACAAUAAGUGGGUUUUGCAAAACUCUAUUUAAAUAUAGUAAAACUGUGUAUUGUGAAACCGUUCGAAAAAUUGUAUGAUCCACAUCCAGAGAUAUCAAGAUUUACCUCCGGAGCUGAAAGAGUUCGUAUUAAACAUGGCUACAAAAUUUCGUGAAAAGUGAUUAUAAAUUAUGGCGAAAUUCAGGCAACGUAUUCCGUGAAGAAUAAUUCAUCAACAGUUAGAUGGCGCAGUUACUACUGGAAGAUUUAUUAUGUGAAGUGAUGACACAAGUGGUUUAAAUCUGUGCGAAAAUGAUGAUGUUUUAUGACUGACAACCGGGAUUUAUCUCCUAAAAAUGCGUAAUAGAAUACGUUUACACCAACAAAAGCAACUAGUUUAUGGCUCAACGCAAAUCGGGUCAGUGACCCAGAAAAACACACGCCCAUGUUGCACCCCCUCCAGAUAAGGUAUAUCCCAUCACCAUUACAUACCAAAGUAAGAGCUGCAUUUUCAUUAAAUAUACCCAAAGAAAGACAGAAAGAAAAAUAAUUAUGAGAAGGUUUUGUUCAAGUGUAGCAAACUUCUGAACUUGCAUGGAAUUCCUAAUUGAAAGUGACAGGAUUUACGAAAGAUUGAUCUAUGUAGACAAAGAAGGACUGAUCAGUUGAAAUUUGCUCUAAUCGUAAAACCAGUGUUAUACAACGGACCCGGUUUAGGGUGGUGCUUCGAAUCCAGUUUGACUUUCUAUUCUGCAGAGUUGUAACUUGUUCUGUAGCUUAGUUGGUUAAAGCGCCGGACUAGCGAUAACGGAGUCGUGGGUUCGAAUCCCACCAAAACAAGUGGUAAUUUUUUCACAAAUUUAUCUCUCAAUUUGCCAAUUAAACGUACUUUGCCUAAAAAUACUUCAAGUUUUUACGACCAGUGUUAUAUGCUAAUAAAACUGUCUGAACCACAAGCUGGGAAACAAGUUCUAUAUUGCUCUAACAUAUUGCACACAAAAUUCAAACAAAUACACUUAACAUUCUACAUAAAAAAAAUGUUUUGAAUUUGGUUCAAAUUGCCGUAAAAUAGAUUCUUCAUUACUCUUAAAACUUGGUAUUUUUCGGCUUUCAGUCACAGAACAGCGUUGAUUACUUUAAAUCGUUGCCAACGUUUCGCUUCUGUGAUUGGGAUCUUCAUCAGGGCUCGAUGUGCAUCAACUUGUUUAAAUUACAUUCACGCUGUGAAGAUUUGCCUUCACAGCUCGCUCGCGACUUUGGUAUGCGUGUGCGACUCCAAUGAUAUUCGGCAAACUUUCAGAUAAAACUACAAGGUUCAAUUCAUCCAUACAUUGUUUUUCGAUAGCAUACUUCUGAACUGAGAUAAUGGCAAAUGAAUGUAAAUCUUUGUAAAUGAAUGGUCGCGCCCUUGCUUUCUAGAAAAUCAUCAAUAUCUUUUGAAUACACUGCGGCAUUGACAUUAUGUUUUGAAGUUGUGAUGACGAAAUCAAAUUAUUCGUAAUUUCUCAAUUUCAAAAAUUUUCCGGGACUCAAUUUUGUUUCAAUUGAUUUGGAUUUUCCUUAGUUGAAGUAUUUAUAAUAAAAGAAAAAUAUCAAAGCAAUGAUCAAAUUUUGAGGUUUUGUAUGGCCACUGUGCGCCCUACAGGAAUACAACAAAAGACGACGAAAGCCAGCACACAGAGAACAGAGAUGGUUUCCCUCUGCUGCUAAAGAACAUUGACGGUAGUGCGACCGAGUGUGAUUUCCAAUGUAUGAUAUCUCAUGCGAUCGGCCUUACUACUCCCGAACAACUGGACGUAACAAAAUUGGCGUCGAAAUGGAAAACUUAUUACAAUAUGGAUUUUAUAUCUUUCAAAGUAGUUUUGCCUUCGGAGCGCAAAUUUCGCACUAAAGAUCCUGCAACAUGGUCAAAGAAUGUGCGGUUUAGAGAGUGUGUGCGAAAAACUGGUACAUAGAAGUCUAACAUACGAUUGCCUUAUCAAUAACUAUGUUCACUUAAAUGAUUUGUAAUUGGUUUGUGUGUUUGUCUCUAUCAGAAGUAUGUUGUAUCACAGAAAACAGAUGUUUAGCCUAGACCAAAAUUUAACUCAUAACGUUUGUAAAAACUGUAAAAACCAUAUAGGGAAGUGGAACCAUCUCGGCAGGGGUCCUAUUUUGGGCACUUUUCUGCUAUAACUCGCCAAUUUUGAACAAAUUAACACAGUUUUUGGAACGCGAUGAGAUACGUAUAGUAUCUAGCCGUGUACAAAAUUUCAAGUCAAUUGGUUUGGAACUGACUGAGUUAUAGCGAAAAGUGCCCAAAAUACCGGCCGCUGCCCAAGUGGUUAGCUACCGCUUGGUCAUUGCUUCCAUCUAUACAAAGAAUUGUUGCAGUGAUUGCUAUCUGACAGGGACUGCUUGCGUUUGUCAUUUGCACUCAAGCGCUAUGAAUGCGAUCGUUGUGCCAUCUCUAAAUGGUUGCCAGUUAUCCUCAUUGAAAUGACCGUUGAAAGGGUUUACACACAUUUCAUAUGUUAGUAUGAACGUCUGUUAACCAAUGACCAAUUUUAAUAUAAAAUGCACUCCACUGAUAUUGAUAUGGAUGCAUACUACCAAAUUCCAAUACUUUUCAUUAUAAUUUUCGUAUUUAUGCCUAUAGUUCAUGGUUCUGUUAUGAAAUGUGGUGUAAUUCUGUAGAAAACUCGA